rnacentral:miRNA from 1 species
GGGAGAACGUGUGUGGGGGAA